rnacentral:rRNA from 1 species
UACGUAGGGUGCGAGCGUUAAUCGGAAUUACUGGGCGUAAAGCGUGCGCAGGCGGUUCGUUAAGUCCGAUGUGAAAGCCCCGAGCUUAACUUGGGAAUGGCAUUGGAAACUGGCGGGCUGGAGUGUGGCAGAGGGGGGUGGAAUUCCACGUGUAACAGUGAAAUGCGUAGAGAUGUGGAGGAACACCGAUGGCGAAGGCAGCCCCCUGGGCCAACACUGACGCUCAGGCACGAAAGCGUGGGGAGCAACAGG